rnacentral:lncRNA from 1 species
GCUUGACUUGGCAUAACACCAUUUGUACUACCAUGAGAAAAACCAUUCCUUUUCAUAUAUGACGGUUGCUGAGCAGCUUCCCAUGAAUACUUGAUGUGAAAUGGAGAUGGUGGUGCUGGAGGUACAGGCAAAUUUGAGGCAUAUUCAUAACACCAGCGGCCAUACUGCAAAUAGUUGAAGUAAUUGUCAUAGUUCCCACUUAGAUCAGAUUCGAGGCAUAUUCAUAACACCAGCGGCCAUACUGCAAAUAGUUGAAGUAAUUGUCAUAGUCCCCACUUAGAUCAGACAAAGCUUUCGAAGGAAUCCCAGCACCAUUUGUUGAGGCCAAAUCCCAGUUCAAAUCUUCAGAC